CCGCGCUAAGGAUGGACGUGGAAAUCCUUUUUUGGGAGCGGCCCAAAAAAGAUUGCAGCCACAGCCUGACCAAGC
rnacentral:ncRNA from 2 species